AACGAACGCUGGCGGCAGGCUUAACACAUGCAAGUCGAGCGCCCCGCAAGGGGAGCGGCAGACGGGUGAGUAACGCGUGGGAAUCUACCCAUCUCUACGGAAUAACGCAUGGAAACGUGUGCUAAUACCGUAUACGUCCUUCGGGAGAAAGAUUUAUCGGAGAUGGAUGAGCCCGCGUUGGAUUAGCUAGUUGGUGGGGUAAAGGCCUACCAAGGCGACGAUCCAUAGCUGGUCUGAGAGGAUGAUCAGCCACACUGGGGCUGAGACACGGCCCAGACUCCUACGGGAGGCAGCAGUGGGGAAUAUUGGACAAUGGGCGCAAGCCUGAUCCAGCCACGCCGCGUGAGUGAUGAAGGCCCUAGGGUUGUAAAGCUCUUUCACCGGUGAAGAUAAUGACUGUACCCACAGAAGAAGCCCCGGCUAACUCCGUGCCAGCCGCCGCAGUAACAC
rnacentral:rRNA from 1 species